rnacentral:rRNA from 1 species
UACGAAGGGUGCAAACGUUGCUCGGAAUUAUUGGGCGUAAAGCGCACGUAGGCGGCUCUGUAAGUUGGAUGUGAAAUCCCUCGGCUCAACCAAGGAAGUGCAUCCAAAACUGCGGAGCUUGAGUACUUAAGAGGAUCGCGGAAUUCCCGGUGUAGAGGUGAAAUUCGUAGAUAUCGGGAGGAACACCAGUGGCGAAGGCGGCGAUCUGGGAAGAUACUGACGCUGAGGUGCGAAAGCGUGGGGAGCAAACAGG